GUGUAGUGUGUGUUGACGUGGAUUUCGACUGUAAACAGAAUGCCACAGGAAGCUGCACAGAAGUGCAUGUUCGCUGUUGAAUCUUGAUGUUAUAAUUCCAAAACAGAAUAUUGUUACGGGAGAAGACGCUAUGACGAACAUUCAGAAUUUACCAAUUGACGUACAAACCAGCAAAUUACUUGACUGGUUGGUGGACCGCAGACACUGUAACCUGAAGUGGCAGGGUGCUGUCAUGGCCAUCCGCGAGAAGAUAAACUCUGCUAUCCAGGACAUGCCAGAGAACGAAGAGAUCAAGCAGCUGCUCUCCGGAUCUUAUAUUCACUAUUUCCACUGUCUGCGGAUUGUUGAAAUUCUGAAGGGAACCGAGGCCUCGUCAAAAAAUAUAUUUGGCAGGUAUUCUUCCCAGAGGAUGAAGGACUGGCAAGAAAUAGUGUCCCUUUAUGAAAAAGAUAACAGCUACUUAGCGGAAAUGGCCAGCUUCCUGGUGCGUAACGUGAGUUACGAGGGACCUGCACUGCGCCGGCAGCUGGCCAAGGCACAGCAACUGCAGAACGAGCUGAGUCGGCGGGAGGUAGAGUGCCAAAGCAUGGCCGCAGACAUGAGGGAGCGAUUCUAUGCUUCCUGCAAGCAGUAUGGCAUCAAGGGGGAGAAUGUGGCACGGGAGCUGCAGGCUUUGGUGAAGGACUUGCCUUCAGUGCUGGAGCAGGUGGGCAGGAAGGUGGCCGGUCUGGAGGAGCCCAUUCAGCUGUACAAAGCGUUCACGCAGUUCGUGUGUGACUGGUCGGAGCCAGUGCUGCCCAUGCUCACGUUCAUCCAGCAGAGGGGGAACACCACCGUUUAUGAGUGGAGGACCGGGGGCGCCCCGUGUGUCAUCGAGAGGCCCACCAUGGAGGAGGCCCCGCUGGACACUGUCACCGAGGAGGCGAUUGACUGGAGUGCUCUGGACAGCCUGGAGGAAACUGGCGGGACACAGGCCUUGGACUUUGGUAUCAGCAUGGAGGGCGAUGUGGAUUGGGGCGUAAGCUCAGAGCCCGGUGCUGAAAGUGCUGAAAAUGGCAUUGACUGGGGGGAGGACACUGCUUGCCCAGUGGAAAUCGAAAUUCUGGACGUGGGUGCUGAUUGUCCAGAGGGCGUGGCCAAGGGAGAGGACGCGCUGUCACUGCUGGAAAACCCCCAGACACGCACCCAGUUUAUUGACGAGCUGAUGGAGCUAGAGCUGUUCCUGUGCCAGCGCAUCAGCGAGAUGUCUGAGGAGGGCGACGUGGUCACCAUGAGCCAGUUCCAGCUGGCACACUCGGUCAUCCAGGGGCAGACGCGGGAGCGCGUGCAGGCCAUGCUCCUGGAGCUGCGCAGCCUGCUCGCGCAGCUGACCUGUGUGCGCAUGCAGCAUCUCUUCAUGAUACAGGCCUCGCCGCGGUAUGUGGGGCGCGUGUCCGAUGUCCUAAGACAGAAACUGAAGCAGGCAGACAUUCUGGUGCUUAAGCAGGCCGCCCAGGCAGAGCGCAGGCAGGAUGCGUUGGAGGAGCAGGCCAAGCUGGAGCCACGCAUCGACCUGCUGGCCACCCGCACGCGUGAGCUGCAGAGACUGGUAUGGCCCGCUUUCCCCUCAUGCACAGGACAGCUGUAGCGGCUGGUACGGCCUGCUUUCCCCUCGCUCACAGGACAGCUGUAGAGGCUGGUACGGCCUGUUUUCCCCUCAUGCACAGGACAGCUGUAGAGGCUGGUUUGGCCUGCUUUCCCCUCGCUCACAGGACAGCUGUAGGGGCUGGUUUGGCCUGCUUUCCCCUCGCUCACAGGACAGCUGUAGGGGCUGGUUUGGCCUGCUUUCCCCUCGCUCACAGGACAGCUGUAGAGGCUGGUACGGCCUGCUUUCCCCUCAUGCACAGGACAGCUAUAGAGGCUGGUACGGCCUGUUUUCCCCUCAUGCACAGGACAGCUGUAGAGGCUGGUACGGCCUGCUUUCCCCUCGCUCACAGGACAGCUAUAGCGGCUGGUACGGCCUGCUUUCCCCUCGCUCACAGGACAGCUGUAGAGGCUGGUUUGGCCUGCUUUCCCCUCGCUCACAGGACAGCUGUAGGGGCUGCUAUGGCCUGUUUUCCCCUUGCUUACAGGACAGCUGUAGAGGCUGGUACGGCCUGCUUUCCCCUCAUGCACAGGACAGCUGUAGCGGCUGGUACGGCCUGCUUUCCCCUCGCUCACAGGACAGCUGUAGAGGCUGGUACGGCCUGCUUUCCCCUCGCUCACAGGACAGCUGUAGAGGCUGGAACGGCCUGCUUUCCCCUCGCUCACAGGACAGCUGUAGAGGCUGGAACGGCCUGCUUCCCCCUCAUGCACAGGACAGCUGUAGAGGCUGGUACGGCCUGCUUUCCCCUCGCUCACAGGACAGCUGUAGAGGCUGGUACGGCCUGCUUUCCCCUCGUUCACAGGACAGCUGUAGACGCUGGUACGGCCUGCUCUCCCCUCAUGCACAGGACAGCUGUAGAGGCUGGUAUGAUCCGACAUGAACAUGGCUUCACAAUAUUUGCUUAUAUGUUACUUAUAUGUUUUUUAAAAGUAAUUCCUCAGUGCCGGAAUCAGUGUAGUGGAGUAAAAUUUAUCACAGUAUAAUAGGAACAUUAUGUUAAAAUAACAGGUAUAUGGAGAUUACAGCUACAUCGCUUAUGUGGAAUUACCCCCGGACUAGACUGCGGCUCCAUUAAAAAUUUGCGAUGAGCGACCCACAGUAGCGGUGAGGAGUAUUUUAUGCUCCUGUUUUCAGCUCCUCUGCAUUAUACAGAACUUGUCAGUGUCUCACCUCCUGUCAGAGGAAACGAAGAGGACACCGCAGCAGGCCUACCUUCAAUAUGGACCCAGCUCGCUCGUGUUCUUUGCCACGGAAGCGUGCAAAACAAGUACAAAUUAUUAUAACAGUGGUGUUAAAGCAGGCCUCCGAUGUCGCCAAGCCAUCGAAACUGACUCUUUACUGAUUGAGAACGAUACCAGGAAACCUCACGCAUUAAAUUUGUAUUUGGCCCUUGGCACAGUUGAUAAAUAAUGCUUGUUAAUUUCAUUGAAGGGAAGAACAGACAGUUAUUAAUAGAUAUUAUAUCAGCAUACGAUUCAGUCUGCCGAUUCAUUCAGAUAUAACCAAGUACAUUUAUUUCUUGCAUAUGUGGACUUCAGACGGAGAGUAAAACACACUACCGGUCUUACUAUACUCUGCGUUUGCUGUUUUAGGGUAGGGAAGGAAGUUCCAUCCCAACCAUCCGAGAAAAUUAACGUCUUCCAGGAGCAGUGCAAUGCUGCAGUGCCAAUUUGCAUCGAAAAGCAGCUGCUUUAUAUGGAAAUACUUCCCAGUCAGCCUGUUAAUGGGUUACUGGUGCCCACCUCUAGUGUACGCUGCCUUUAAUGAAAAUGAUUCGACUGCUGCCAGAGCUCGUUUGAUGACGUAGAGUUUGGCAAGAAAGAUAAAAAUCAUCAAUUAAAUCAUUUGUGUGCCGUUAAAAUGUAACGUGAGCCUUUUCACCCGGCCGGAAUCGCUUCAUUGACAUCUUUGCGGAGCGUAAUGUUAGAAUAGGAACACAAAGCUCUGAUUUCGAUGCCUUCAGAUGAAACAUCUAACGCGCUUCUCCUGUGAUCUGUGUUUGUGCUCUGCAGAUCGAAGCUGACAUCUCCAAACGCUACAGCGAUAGGCCCGUCAAUCUGAUGGGCGUCAACGUGUGAGAGCGGGAAUCCCUCACAGCGCCCGGCCUUCUCCCACUAAUAAAUUAUUUUCACGUGCAGACAUA